rnacentral:rRNA from 1 species
CUGACGAGUGGCGGACGGGUGAGUAAUGCUUGGGAAUCUGGCUUAUGGAGGGGGAUAACGACGGGAAACUGUCGCUAAUACCGCGUAUUGUCGAAAGACGAAAGUGCGGGACUGAGAGGCCGCAUGCCAUAGGAUGAGCCCAAGUGGGAUUAGGUAGUUGGUGGGGUAAAGGCCUACCAAGCCUGCGAUCUCUAGCUGGUCUGAGAGGAUGACCAGCCACACUGGAACUGAGACACGGUCCAGACUCCUACGGGAGGCAGCAGUGGGGAAUAUUGCGCAAUGGGGGGAACCCUGACGCAGCCAUGCCGCGUGAAUGAAGAAGGCCUUAGGGUUGUAAAGUUCUUUCGGUAUUGAGGAAGGUUGAUGUGUUAAUAGCACAUCAAAUUGACGUUAAAUACAGAAGAAGCACCGGCUAACUCCGUGCCAGCAGCCGCGGUAAUACGGAGGGUGCGAGCGUUAAUCGGAAUAACUGGGCGUAAAGGGCACGCAGGCGGUUAUUUAAGUGAGGUGUGAAAGCCCCGGGCUUAACCUGGGAAUUGCAUUUCAGACUGGGUAACUAGAGUACUUUAGGGAGGGGUAGAAUUCCACGUGUAGCGGU